CCCCCCCCCCCCCACAAAAAUCGGACCUCUCAUCUCUUUGCAUAGAGAGAACGACACAGCCAUAACCUGCACAAAACAAAGACCAAAAAGACAUGACAAUAAAAAAGAAAACAAAAGAAGAAUAGAGAGGAAUGGUAACAGAGAGACAGAGGGGAAGAAAAUUGAAAUCAAAACAGAAAAGAGGAAGAAGGGGAACAACCAAAAUUAAGAGAAGAUUUUCGGCUGAGGUCCGUCGACUGCUCGUAAGGUUCUUGAUUGUGGUUCCAAAUCCAUUUUAUCAUUGUUUUGUUUGUUUGCUACUGGACGCACGAAUUCCGGUGCCAGAUUUCUUAUUGUAUAUUCAAAGGCGAAAGUUAAUCAAAGUUAUAAUUUCAGGUUCAUCUCUUUCUUCCCUUUUCUUUCACGUCUGGAAUUAUGGUCGUUCUGAGAUGAAGUUUCACGCCUUCAUAUUCUGCAUAAAAUUAAUUGAAAUAAAUUUUUGAUUUAACUUUCCUAAUACGAAUAAGUGUGUGUUUCUGAGUGAUUCUAGAUUUUGUUCCCUACCAUGUUGAAUAUGUUUCAUACUACGUUGGGUUGUAUUGUUAUUUUAGUAAAUGCUCGUUUUUGGUUGGUCCGUUGUCUUGAUUUUGUGACAAUUUUCCUUUCUGUUUCAUUAUUCUUUUGGUAUUUUAAUUUAUCCCAAAAAUACUUUAACGAAUGUUUGAGGUUGUGAAUUUACGUAUUUAUGUUGAUGGACUUCUUUUAACUCAUGAGUUAUAUUAAUUUUAGUGAUUGUAGUUAAGUUUUAGUAAAGAAAGAGCUUUAGGAAGUAAUUGACUUAGACUCUUUAGGAGACCUUUCCUUCGUAAAUACUGCAGUACGUUGGAAUCUAUCAAAUUAGUCUUAAUACAUCAAAUUUCGUCCAAGUUUAAACUCCAUAAUUUCAUAAAUACCGGCCUUACAACAAUCCCAAAUUAGUUUAGGGUGAUAAUUAUGAAUGUCAUAGUUUGCUUCAGGCGCGAUUAAUAAAUUAUCGUGACCAUGGGUACGGUUCCCGUGGCAUGGUCGCGAUACAUAAAUCUCAUUCGAGUGCGUUUCACGUGACUCGACCUUAUAAUUUCAAACAAUAAUAAGUUAAACAUGUUGUAAAUCGCGGGUGCAUUUCAUGUGAUGCGGUUUGCAAUAUAUACCAAAACAACAAGUGUACGACAUCGUGCCUUGUUCCAGAAAAUAAUUCCAUAAACAUUAAAAGAGGCGAAAAGGUUAAAAAUGCACAAUAAGUUUAAUUAUAUAUUAAAUUAGAUAAUUAAGUCAAUUAUUAAUAAUUGAGCGACCGUGCUAAACUACGGAACCCGGGAAUGCCUAACACCUUCUCUCGGGUUAACAGAAUUUCUUACCCAGAUUUCUGUGUUUCACGGACUGUAAAACAGAGUCAAACUUCCUCGAGUCGGGAUUCUAAAUCGGUAACUUGGGACACCAUAAAUUAUCCUAAGUGGCGACUCUGAAAUUAAAUAAAUAAUCUCAUUUCGAUUAUUGUCACUUUACUUGGAAAAGCUCCAUAUUCCUCCUAGAAAAAGUAGGUGUGACAGCUCUGGUGACUCCGCUGGGGAAAAGAACCCAGAACCUCUGGUUCAGGGUUCAGAAUUCGAGCUUAGAAUAACUGUUAUAGUUGGCUUUUAUUUAUUAUCUGACUUUUACGUGUUUGAGCCUAAUGUGCUAAUAUCGCUUUUUACCGCUUUGAUAUUGCUUGGACUGUAUAUAAACUGUUACGAAACCCUCUUCUCUCUGAGUUUUCUAAAUCAUUUGGGAAGCGUGCACUUCGUAUGACUUCUUUUCUAUUAGAUUCAUAUCCCAAUUUUAGAACGAGGUUCGAAUAAGUUGCAAAGCCGGUGAAGCUUCUGUAUUCUCGGUACACUGCCCCCCUCGGCUCGAGUUGUCCGCUCGGGUAAGCCAUGUCUAGAAUAAUACACCCAGGUUUUAAACCUAGAAUAACAUAGCCUUAUGACGGAUCCCUAGUAGGAACGCUUGUUUGCAUCAUGUGCAUUUGACUUUGGGGACUCAAUAUAGGGGUUAGGUCUGUCUAGGACAAUUGUACCCAAACUAAAAGACCAUCCUGAUGCAUCUUACGUGCUACCUGUGUAUCUGUUUGUUUCGGCUUGCAUGUUGACUGGCUUCUAGAAUAGGGAAAGAAAAUGAAAAAAAAGAGAAAAAAAACAAGAGCGAGUAGUAGGUAUUUGAAAAAUUUUGAAACUCUACAAAAUUUUGAAAAAAAGAGAAAGAAAGUAAGUCAAUGUUUUCAAAAGUCAUGUUUCCUCUGUUCCGUCAAAACUGGCCGAACUACGCGUGUCUGAUUCUCACCGGAUGUAAGAUAUUUAGGCAAACCUCAUCGGUUCCGGCCCCCAAUUUUUAAAAAUCUAAAAAUAUUUUUCUUUACUUUCUUCUUUAGAAAAGCCUUCUUUUGAGACCCCAAUCUUUAAAAAAUCCAAAAAUAUUUUCUUUUACUUUCCUCUAAAAAUCCAAAAAUAUUUUUGAAAAUUGAAAAGAAAAUUCAAGAUUCAAAAAAAAAAUAAUAUUUUUUUAUUUAUAAGUCUUUCUUUCAUGAUUUUAUCAUAAAAGUCCAAAAAUUUGAAAACAUUUUCUUUAUUCUUUAGAAGUUUUUUUUACAAAAUGCCAAAAGAAAAAAAGGGAAAAACUCAAAAUUAAAAAACAAUCUUUCUUCUUUAUAAAUCUUUCUUUCGAAAAAAAAUCAAAAAAAUAAAAAAUAAAAAAAAGAGUUAGUUUAUUUACUUUAUUCCCGAUCUUCCCGAACUACGCAAAGAUUUGAUUCAUGCGGCGUCAUGAUACGUAUGCAACCUACAUAGAAUUCGAUCGAAUCGUUUUUUUUAAAUAGGAACAAAAAGAAAAAAAAAGAGAUGAAGUUAUGAGAUGUGAGAAAUGAGAGAAAAGAAAAAGAGAGGAAAGAAAACGAGCAAAUCAAGGAGCGCAAGAGAGAAAAUUAAGAAAAUAGGGGCAAGAGAAGUAAAAUUGGGAUGAUGCCAAGUUGACUUCCCACCCUCGAAGUCAUUUUAGAACCGAUAAUUAUGAUUAUGUGCAUUGCACAUAAUGUGAGAUUAUCUUAGGUUAAAUGCCCUAACGCCAAUGUGAUGAGUUUAUUUUGUUCCUCUUUGUUAUCUUUAUUGAGCAAAAGGGUGGUUGGUUUGUGGUUCUUAAGUUAACUCAUCCAUACAACACAAGGCCAAAGAGCAAGGUAGGCAAGCAUAAUGGUUUUAUGACAUUCCGAAAUAUUUUAUUAACGUAUUUCUCAUGCAUUGCAUUCACUUACAUGUGCAUUUACCCAUUACUCAGACAGCGUUAUAGACACGUAUAUAUGUAUAUAUAUGUAUAUGGGAUAUGAAAAAAGGUUACGACGUUAUAUACGUACUACCACCUGAUCAGCUUGUAUACGUUGAUGAUUUUACCCACAGUGGCACCAGAGGGCGUUAUAUAUGCGUAUAUAUGUAAAUAUAUGUAUACGGGAUAUGGGAAAAAGGUUACGGCGUUAUAUACGUACCACCACCUGAUCAGCUAGUAUACAUGAUGAUUUUGCCGACAAUGGCCGAGAUGAUAUGAUGGGAUGCCAUCAGAGUCUUGAUGACGUUAUGAACACACGUACCUAUGCACGACAUGACAUUCAUAAGCAUAUGCAUGACACUAUAAGUAUUACAUGAUUUACAGAGUUAUCCAGACUUAUAGGUUGAGUCCUUCACUCCAAGUUCCUUCAAUGUCUUAAAUUAAUGUUGAGUUAUUGUUAUGUUUCGGUUCUGCCUUACAUACUCAGUACAUUAUUCGUACUGACGUCCUUUUGUUGGGGACGCUGCAUUCAUGCCUGCAUGUUUAGAUAAUCAGUUGACGAGCCCUCAUAGUAGACGAGAUUGGCAUUCAACGAAGGAUCGGUAAGACUCCACCUCAUUCGGAGUGCAACCAAGUCUAUGAGUCAUCGUGUCAGAAUUUUGCUACAGAUUUACAGGUAUGCCGGUACCCUGUCCCAUUUGAUAUUAGUUAAUCUUAGAUGCUUUGUAGAUAGAAGUUCAGUUUGUACAGUAUGUUACAGGCCUUGAUAGCUCAUAUGUAUUCAUGUUUUAAGAAAAAUGAUUCAGGGAUACACUGUUUUCCCACUUACAAUUAUACAUUGCGAGUUGUAGCCAUGUUGGCCCAUGAUAGUUAUAAAAAGGAAUGAAUGAGUUACAGAGUGGUUCGCUCGGGCCACUACAACAUCGGGUGCCAGCCACGCCUCCCCAGGUCCGGGGCGUGACAGUAUCGGUCUGGGCCACACUCUCCGUAAGGCCCACCAGAAAACUGUUAUACAGAGGUAAAAUAUAAUACAAAAAAUUGAUUCUAAGAAAAUUUAAGCUUUUAUAAUGGAUAGUUGUUAUAUAGGAAUAUUUUUUUAGGGAUGCUUGUAGGGUUUGUAUUCAUAUUUUUUAUACAUGCACUUUUAACUCUUAUAGUUAAUGAAUAUUUAUUCUCAUAUUAAUUUAACAUAUAAUCAUAAUAAACUUAUGUAAUUCGAUAUAAACAUUAAUCAUUCAAAGUUCUAAUUCCUAUCUUAGAAAAAUUUUAUUUUGUGUCUCAUAUGCCAACUCAUACUUAUAUGAGGCUCUUUAUUAUUUGACAAGUGGACUCAUGUGUGAAGACCGAUAGGUUAUUUUAUUGUUUCACCCUUAAUUUAUGUAUUUCAAAACCUCUAAUAGCUUGGUUUAGCCUUCCUCGUUUUGCGCGUAUAAUCCAUGUCCUUUUUCCGCAAUUUUUUUUCCUGAGAAAAUUGAUGAAAAUGUAAAUCAUUCAUUAAAACUCAUUUGAGUUUACUACGAUCAAUGUUUUAUAUAAACGGAUCCGGAUUAAUAUUUUUGACAGUCCCGGUGGGUCCGUAUCGUAAUUUGAGUUGACUUCGGCCAAGUUAGGGACUUCUGAAUUCAAUUUUAUUUUAUUGUUUUACCCUUUAUUUCUGUAUUUUGAAACCUCUAAUAGCUUCGUUUACCCUUUCUCGAUUUGCGUGUGUAAUCCAUGUCCUUUUUCCGAAAAGUUUUUAUGAGAAAAUUGAUGAAAAUGUGAAAUCGUUCAUUAAAACUCAUUUAAGUUGACUACGGUCAAUGUUUUGUAUAAACGAAUCCGGAUUAAUAUUUUGACAAUCCCAGUGGGUCCACAUCGUAAUUUGAGACUUGGACAUAUGCCCGAAAUAUAAUUCGGAAGUCCCUAAAUUGAGUUAAUGUGAAUUGUUGAAAACUAUCAAUUUAAAUGUUUAAAGAAUUUUUAAGUUUGACCGAAGGUUGACUUUAUUUCUACCUAGUUCAUAUUUCGGUUCCGGAACUUGGUAUAGGUUCAUUUAAGUAUUUAUAACUUGUCUAUAAAAUUUGGUGCAAAACGGAGUUGAUUUAAUGUGAUUCAGACGUCUGGUUGUAAAUCUGCAUGUUUUUAAGUUUCUUUGAAAAUUUCAUUCAUUUUGGAAUUUGAUUCGUAGUUCUAAGUGUUAUUUUGGUAUUUUGAUAGCACAAGUGAGUUCGUAUGGUGUUAUUACAUUUGUGUGCAU
rnacentral:lncRNA from 1 species